rnacentral:rRNA from 1 species
AACGAACGCUGGCGGCAGGCUUAACACAUGCAAGUCGAGCGCCCCGCAAGGGGAGCGGCAGACGGGUGAGUAACGCGUGGGAAUCUACCCAUCUCUACGGAAUAACGCAUGGAAACGUGUGCUAAUACCGUAUACGUCCUUCGGGAGAAAGAUUUAUCGGAGACGGAUGAGCCCGCGUUGGAUUAGCUAGUUGGUGGGGUAAAGGCCUACCAAGGCGACGAUCCAUAGCUGGUCUGAGAGGAUGAUCAGCCACACUGGGACUGGGACACGGCCCAAACUCCUACGGGAGGCAGCAGUGGGGAAUAUUGGACAAUGGGCGCAAGCCUGAUCCAGCCAUGCCGCGUGAGUGAUGAAGGCCCUAGGGUUGUAAAGCUCUUUCACCGGUGAAGAUAAUGACGGUAACCGGAGAAGAAGCCCCGGCUAACUUCGUGCCAGCCGCCGCGGUAACAC